rnacentral:rRNA from 1 species
AAAASGSWMKKSRMGCGAGUSRUAAGAAGCUUGCUUCUAUGACGUUARCGGKGACGGGUGAGUAACACGUGGGCAACCUGCCUGUAAGACUGGGAURACUUCGGGAAACCGAAGCUAAUACCGGAUAGGAUCUUCUCCUUCAUGGGAGAUGAUUGAAAGAUGGUUUCGGCUAUCACUUACAGAUGGGCCCGCGGUGCAUUAGCUAGUUGGUGAGGUAACGGCUCACCAAGGCAACGAUGCAUAGCCGACCUGAGAGGGUGAUCGGCCACACUGGGACUGAGACACGGCCCAGACUCCUACGGGAGGCAGCAGUAGGGAAUCUUCCGCAAUGGACGAAAGUCUGACGGAGCAACGCCGCGUGAGUGAUGAAGGCUUUCGGGUCGUAAAACUCUGUUGUUAGGGAAGAACAAGUACRAGAGUAACUGCUYGUACCUUGACGGUACCUAACCAGAAAGCCACGGCUAACUMYGUGCCAGCAGCCGCAAAA